CCUACGGGUGGCAGCAGUGAGGAAUAUUGCACAAUGGGCGAAAGCCUGAUGCAGCAACGCCGCGUGAGCGAUGAAGGCCUUCGGGUCGUAAAGCUCUGUCCUCAAGGAAGAGAAUGACGGUACUUGAGGAGGAAGCCCCGGCUAACUACGUGCCAGCAGCCGCGGUAAUACGUAGGGGGCGAGCGUUAUCCGGAAUUACUGGGCGUAAAGGGUGCGUAGGUGGUUUCUUAAGUCAGAGGUGAAAGGCUACGGCUCAACGUGGUAACUGCCUUUGAAACUGGCAAACUGGAGUGUGUGAGAGGCUAGUGGACUUCCAGGUGUAGGAGUGCAAUCCGUAGAUAUCUGGAGGAACAUCAGUGGCGAAGGCGACUCUCUGGCACAUACCUGACGCUGAGGAGCGAAAGCGUGGGUAGCAAACAGGAUUAGAUACCCCUGUAGUC
rnacentral:rRNA from 1 species